GUGAGCUAUUGUAUUAGGCUAUAAUCUUUGGGUUUGAGUUAAGGAAGAUAACCCAAAAAAUUCACCCCUUCAGUAUUUUUCAUGGUUACCUCUCUUUGACCAUAUUUUGAGUAUUAUUAUUUCAGUCUAAUCUGACAUAAUUUUUCUCACGCAGAUUUGUUUUGAUGUGCUAGGUGGAUAGAGCUCAUUUUCCUGAGAAAUUUGAUACCAAAAUCACAUAGAUCUAGAUCUAGAUCUAUAUUAUUUAAUUUUUCAGCCAGUUACAGAUGUUCAAAUUUCGAUCCCAACAGUCGUCUGAACCUGAGUGCCAUAGAAAUCUCGCCCUUCCUUGAGAUACAGCCAUAGUUCUCUCCCCUGACCAUAGAAUACGAAGCUUUCACCGACAAAGACAUCUUGCUGGUUCGGAUCCAGGCAAGGUCUAAGCUCUGUGGCGCCAUCGGCUGGCUAGAUAACACAGUGGACAGCAAACAGUAAGUCCAGGUUUUGUGUUGAGGACAAGUCAACAUUUCUCUCAGACAAAAUGAUUUUUUUUUGUGGAUAACUUGUUUUGUUUUUGUGUUGAAUCCUUAACGUCUUUAAUUGAAACAAAAACUGCUGUAUCUUAGAUUUAGUGACUGAUGCAAUGUUUCAACCCCAGGUAGUAAAGUGACUGAUGCAAUGUUUCAACCCCAGGUAGUAAAGUGACUGAUGCAAUGUUUCAACUCCAGGUAGUAAAGUGACUGAUGCAAUGUUUCAACUCCAGGUAGUAAAGUGACUGAUGCAAUGUUUCAACCCCAGGUAGUAAAGUGACUGAUGCAAUGUUUCAACUCCAGGUAGUAAAGUGACUGAUGCAAUGUGGCGUCGGUGGCCUAGUGGUUAGGCUCUCGGACUUGCAACCGUAAGGUCGUGGGUUCGAAUCCC